CUUUUCAAGCCAAGGCCCUCUGUCUUCCAUUAAAGCAGUCAUCAAGAGGACUUCCCGUACUUCUGGCUAUGGUGAACAGCAAAGAGAGAGAAGACGCCCUGAAAUCACUAUAGUUGCUGCUGAGCCGCUUCGGCCGUCGUCCUGGUUUCCGAGUGGCGGCCGUGUCCCUCAGCAAGGGCUGGUUUCCCCACCGUCUCCCAUCCCAGGUUCCUGGAGAACAAAUGAGCUUGUUCUG